rnacentral:rRNA from 1 species
AUGAACGCUGGCGGCGUGCCUAAUACAUGCAAGUCGAGCGAACGGACGAGAAGCUUGCUUCUCUGAUGUUAGCGGCGGACGGGUGAGUAACACGUGGAUAACCUACCUAUAAGACUGGGAUAACUUCGGGAAACCGGAGCUAAUACCGGAUAAUAUUUUGAACCGCAUGGUUCGAAAGUGAAAGACGGUCUUGCUGUCACUUAUAGAUGGAUCCGCGCUGCAUUAGCUAGUUGGUAAGGUAACGGCUUACCAAGGCAACGAUGCAUAGCCGACCUGAGAGGGUGAUCGGCCACACUGGAACUGAGACACGGUCCAGACUCCUACGGGAGGCAGCAGUAGGGAAUCUUCCGCAAUGGGCGAAAGCCUGACGGAGCAACGCCGCGUGAGUGAUGAAGGUCUUCGGAUCGUAAAACUCUGUUAUUAGGGAAGAACAUAUGUGUAAGUAACUGUGCACAUCUUGACGGUACCUAACCAGAAAGCCACGGCUAACUACGUG